UACAGGGGGUGCAAACGUUGCUCGGAUUUACUGGGCGUAAAGAGCGUGUAGGCGGCCAAACAGGUCCGUUGUGAAAACUGGAGGCUCAACUUCCAGACGUCGACGGAAACCGUGUGGCUAGAGUCCGGAAGAGGAGAGUGGAAUUCCUGGUGUAGCGGUGAAAUGCGCAGAUAUCAGGAAGAACACCAAUGGCGAAGGCAGCUCUCUGGGACGGUACUGACGCUGAGACGCGAAAGCGUGGGGAGCGAACAGG
rnacentral:rRNA from 1 species